GGCAUCUUACUCUACUUGAUUAAAAAAUGUGACCUGUGUGUGAGGCUUGGGAGGGACCCAGAGAUGAAUCGCUCGCAGCCCCUGUCAAAGGAAGCGCUGGCCUAGAUUCUGAGGGAAACCCUCCAUUGGGAAGUGUAAUCGGGCCAUGCACAGAUUCGGGAUGUACUGAAGUGACCUUAGCAGUGAGCUCCCGGUUAAUUCAGAGGGUGGAACAUGGUGCUAAUGAGAGCAGAGUCACAGGGUCAGUCCUACCCGGAGGAGGGCCAUGUCAGCCAGCAAAGCUAACAAAACAGCAUUCUCUUCCAGACCAAGCCUGGCCUUGGUCCUAGACUGGGUUGCAGCUGCUGCCACGGCCUGAAUUCCCCACGACUCAGAUCCCUUGUUCCUCCUGCAGCACCACCAGCUGUGAGGGCAGAAUGUCUGCAUGGCCUCGGCCACCAAGUGAGCAGACACGGGGGUUGGAGGGACCAGAGAUGCACAGAGAAGUUCGAGGAUUCCCCCAGAGUUACCGAACCAGCACUGGAGCCAGGCGUGAGCAUCUGUAGAGUGAUUAAUAUGCAUGGAUUUCUCAUCAAAGAGGAGAUUGUGUGAAACCCACAGAGCGCUUGACUCUGGCGUGGCUCAGAACUCAUUAUCUUCCAGCAGCAAGUUGAGAAAUUCUUGGACAGAGAUUUAAACAAACGCUCAAGUUGCCGCUUUGACCUGACUAACCUUCCGGUGAGUUGAGAGUCAUAAACCAUUAUUGUCUCUGCAGGCGGGGAGUACUGCGGGCGCCUCUUGGCACCUGGCGCCUCUGUCUGAAUUAGUAGCUCAUUCUCUCUAUCUGAUGCUGGGCCAGGAAUGGGAGAGUUUACACUUCCCUGUGUGAGCCUGCUCUUGGCAUCUUUAAUGGUGUUCUGUGACCACAGAGACACACCCAGAAUCAGAGAAUCUGAAGGCAUUUGUUGGUUUGGUUUUAGAGCCCAGAAAAACCAGUGAAUGAAAAAGACAGGCCCAGGAUGGUGUGUGGGCCAACUGGGAGGGCCCAGACCAUUGCCCAGGACCCGACUCCUCACCUGGUGUUUUCUCAUUGCUCUGGGCUGGGAGCAAUGACCCUGGCCCCACAAAACUCGGUUUGUGCCUCCCCAGUAUGCCUGUAACAGGGCCAGGGCUAUCUUUCCCCUGUUUUCACUGCCCCUCCCUUAGGUGGGCUAGUUGGAUGGUGUAAGAUGAUUCCCCAUUCUCAGAGUUUCUGUGCUCAUCUCUGCCACUUGGCAGCUGUGGCUUUUCAUGAAAUUUAUGCAGGAAAUGUUUUUUUAGUCGUAGUCAAAUACACAAAACAUAAAAUUGACAAUAUUAACCAUUUCUUUUUUUGAGAUGGAGUUUUGCUCUUG
rnacentral:lncRNA from 1 species